CGACCUGAGAUCAGACGAGAUUACCCGCUGAAUUUAAGCAUAUCAAUA
rnacentral:rRNA from 1 species